ensembl:rRNA 5S_rRNA 5S ribosomal RNA
ACCCAGUCAAUGUCCUCUGAGAACUGGAGGAUUUCUUGGUGUAAAAAUAAAACUGAUACCUUGGAAGCUAAGCAGGGUCGAGCCUGGUUAGUACUUGGAUGGGAGACCACCUAGGAAGACCAGGUGCUGUAGGUG